rnacentral:rRNA from 1 species
AAUAGAUACCCGGGUAGUCCAUGCCGUAAACGUUGGGCACUAGGUGUGGGGCUCAUUCCACGAGUUCCGUGCCGCAGCUAACGCAUUAAGUGCCCCGCCUGGGGAGUACGGCCGCAAGGCUAAAACUCAAAGGAAUUGACGGGGGCCCGCACAAGCGGCGGAGCAUGCGGAUUAAUUCGAUGCAACGCGAAGAACCUUACCAAGGCUUGACAUAUACCGAAAACUCGUAGAGAUACGGGGUCCGCAAGGGCGGUAUACAGGUGGUGCAUGGUUGUCGUCAGCUCGUGUCGUGAGAUGUUGGGUUAAGUCCCGCAACGAGCGCAACCCUCGUCCUAUGUUGCCAGCGGGUAAUGCCGGGGACUCAUAGGAGACUGCCGGGGUCAACUCGGAGGAAGGUGGGGAUGAGGUCAAAUCAUCAUGCCCCUUAUGUCUUGGGCUUCACGCAUGCUACAAUGGCCGGUACAAAGGGCUGCGAUACCGCAAGGUGGAGCGAAUCUCAAAAAGCCGGUCUCAGUUCGGAUUGGGGUCUGCAACUCGACCCC